CUAAGAACUUACAUUGGUUCCUUUUCCUCAUGUUUAAUCCAUUAUUCCUUCGCAUUUUCAAUCUUUUUCUCCUAAUACAGACAAUGUAGGGACUAAUUUACCGCAUUUAUUUUUUCUCCACUUGACAAAAGGCAGAGCUACUUGUGUCCGGUUUUGCCACUUCCCCCAGCUGCAGGAAUAAGGCAUUGUCCUGCGGAUUUCUCCAUAGAUAUUAGUGCUGUAUUCUUGCUCAUGUGCGAGAGUAUAGCACUGACAUGGGCUCCUGGCAAUUGAAGCACCCAAGAGAAUGCAGUAUAACUCAC